rfam:Ktedonobacter sp. 13_2_20CM_2_54_8 13_2_20cm_2_scaffold_10398, whole genome shotgun sequence.
GUCAACGACCCCACGCGUAGAACGCGGGGGCUUGUUCGAAUCGCCCACAGUGGCAGGGAGCAAGCCUGAUUCGUUGUCCAGCCCUCGUUCCUGAUCCCGCAGGCCGGGAAAUGAGGGAACUCCGUUCGGCGGGUCAUGGCACCUACGCACGCCUCCUCAAUGCGUAGCUCUGCCGUUCAGGGUUAAAUGCUCUCAUCGGGGUGGGAACGGUGCUCUGAGCUACACAAGCCCGUCGAACAUGGGCGAGAGGAGCGGGAG